GACGAGAUGGCCGAGUGGUUAAGGCGGUGGCCUGCUAAACGCAUGACGAUUUAGUCAGUAAGCUAUUGGGUUCUGCCCGCGUGAGUUCGAAUCUCAUUCUCGUCG